rnacentral:rRNA from 1 species
GACGAACGCUGGCGGCGUGCUUAACACAUGCAAGUCGAACGGAAAGGCCCUGCUUUUGUGGGGUGCUCGAGUGGCGAACGGGUGAGUAACACGUGAGUAACCUGCCCUUGACUUUGGGAUAACUUCAGGAAACUGGGGCUAAUACCGGAUAGGAGCUCCUGCUGCAUGGUGGGGGUUGGAAAGUUUCGGCGGUUGGGGAUGGACUCGCGGCUUAUCAGCUUGUUGGUGGGGUAGUGGCUUACCAAGGCUUUGACGGGCAGCCGGCCUGAGAGGGUGACCGGCCACAUUGGGACUGAGAUACGGCCCAGACUCCUACGGGGGGCAGCAGUGGGGAAUAUUGCACAAUGGGCGGAAGCCUGAUGCAGCAACGCCGCGUGCGGGAUGACGGCCUUCGGGUUGUAAACCGCUUUCGCCUGUGACGAAGCGUGAGUGACGGUAAUGGGUAAAGAAGCACCGGCUAACUACGUG